ensembl:lncRNA
AGGGAGAUGAAUGGAAAACAGCCUUCUCAACCACAUGCGGGCAAUACGAAUAUUUGGUUAUGCCGUUCGGGCUUUCCAACAGUCCGUCUGUCUUCCAAGCCUAUAUUAACGACAUGUUCCGUGAUAUGCUCAAUCGCUGGGUCAUUGUCUACAUUGACAACAUCCUCAUCUACUCGGAUUCCCUGGAGACACACGUGAAACACGUCCGAGCAGUUCUGCACUUCACCACAGCACCCAUCCUUCAUCAUCUAGAUCCCCAUCUCAAAUUCACGGUAGAGGUUGAUCCAUCCAACACAGGUAUCGGAGGCGUCUUGUCACAACGUCAGGGCAAUCCUCCUAAGCUAUUCCCCUGUACCUAUUAUUCACGCAAACUGAAUGGGGCCGAAAGCAAUUAUGGCGUGGGUGAUCGAGAAUUGCUGGCAAUAAAGGUGGCCUUUGUAGAAUGGAGGUAUUGGCAAGAGGGAACUAAAAUACCUUUCCUGGUACUCACCGAUCACCGCAACCUGGAAUACAUUCGCUCAGCCAAACAACUUAACCCAAGGCAAGCCCGAUGGUCACUCUUCUUUUCCCGCUUUGACUUCAAUGUCACAUACAGGCCAGGGUCCAAGAACUGUAAGGCAGAUGCAUUAUCCAGGUUACACCAUUCUUCACCUACUCUAAUAAGCACAGAAGAAACUGUAAUCCCACCAACUCUGAUUGUAGCACCAGUUCAAUGGGACAUUAUCACCGAGAUCACCAAAGCUCAGGUCAAUGAUCCACCACCGCCAAACUGCCCCAACGACCGAAUUUAUGUGCCAGUCGAUCUUCGUCAAUGUGUGUUGCAUCUGGUACAUGAUUCCCCCAGCUCAGGGCACCCCAGGAUUACAGCUUCAAUUCAGCUGGUGUCCGAACGCUUCUGGUGGCCAUCCCUAUCGCCGGAUACAAUUACAUUUGUUCAGCAAUGCCAGGUCUGUAAUAUGUCCAAAUCCUCUCACCAACGCCCUGCCGGUUUAUUACAACCCCUUCCCGUUCCUCAAUGCCCAUGGUCUCAUAUAGCCAUUGCCUUUGUUACUGAUCUCCCCAACUUCAGAAACCACACCACCAUUCUGACAGUAAUCGAUAGAUUUUCCAAGGCCUGCCGACUCAUACCCUUACCCAAACUGCCUACUGCUUUUGAAACCGCUGAAGCUCUUUUGGAACAGGUCUUCCACUUCUAUGGCCUUCCCAAGGAUAUAGUUUCUGACCGAGGCCCACAGUUCACCUUUCUGCCAACAACUCAACAUCAACAUCAGUCUCACCUCC